UGUGCACCUUUGACUGAACGUCUGCAUCCCUCUUUUCUCCUCCAGCAUGUCUUUGACUUGUUGCUACUGUUUUGACCAAACUCUAUUGGGUAUUUUGACUCGAGCACCAGGAGGGAAGUCGGUACCAACCUGACUUCCGGUCAGCACCGGCCUGAAUGUGCCGUUCAUUUGGGUUGGUGUUCCUCGAGAAAUCCUGCACAAAAUACUAGUUCUCAGAAGGCCUGAUUGGCUUUUAAGUAAAGAAAGGUUCUGUGAGCAAAUAGGUUCACAAAAUACUGCGUAUCAGCUUCCACCUUUUAGGGGUUCAAAGUCCUUAUUAGAACACUUCAUUCCUUUUUUUUUGUCUUUAAAGUUUAUUCAUUUGUUUUGAGAGGGAACACGUACAUGUGUGAGUGUGGGAGGGGAAGAGAGAGAGGGAGAGAGAGAGAGAAUCCCAAGCAGGCUUCACGCUCUCAGUGCAGAGCCCAAUGCAGGGCUCGAUCUCACGAACCAUGCACGAGACCAUGACCCGAGCUGAAAUCAACAGUGGGAUGCUUAACUGAGCCACCCAGGCACCCCUUAUUUCUAAUCCAAUACCUUCUGGAUUUAUUUAGACAGGGGGCACUAUUUUUUUUUUUAAUUAUUAACAAAAUUAAAACAAAAGACUUUUUGCUAUCCAAGAGACCAGAACCAUAGUUUUGCAAAUGCUAUCUAAUGUGCCCAGAAACUCUCUCUUGCUGGCUCACGUAAGCUCUGGAAGACCUUGGAGCUAAAUGCUCCUGCCCAGAUCCAGUGAUCUUAUUCCUUUAAAAUUCUACUGCUUUUAAAAACUAUAUAUGUCGCUUUAAUCAACUUCUCAUUGCUCAUACUUUAUGGUUUGUGUAGAACUUAACAACCAGCUUUCCUCUUUCAGUGUAUGAUUGAUUUGCCACGAACUGAGCCGGGGAUUCCUAAGUUGGACACUGUUUUGAGGUGCACGGAGGGACACUUGCCCAAGUCCAGAGCAGCGCCGAGGCCUGAACUGACCCGCUUUGGUAAACAGCGCCACCUGGUGGCCCACGGAAAUGUCCAUUUCCCCAAGAAGACACCGCGGGGCUGGUCUUUGCCCACUUCUCCGUGGAGGGUAGCGUCUGAUAACGCCCCGUACGUAAACCGAUUCUGUGCGGAGAGCGCUUGCCUGAAUCACUCCCUUGAAAAAGGUCCAAGUGCAGUUGUUUGGUUUAAUGACCUGCAUUAUUAUAGGCUUUGGAGCUUGUGUGUGUGCCAAGUAAAAGGGUGAACAAUACCCAAACUCUUCAGGGCAAUGUUCCUCCAGAGAGCUGAACAGACAACAUAAGCCCUACUGUUCGUAAGGGCCGGUGGUUGCAGUCACAUUUUUAUGGCAUUAAUCAAUUUGUAUCGUAAUUUAUAGGAAUACUGUUCCCACACUGGGUUUUGUUGACUGAGGAAAGAUCGGGGCAGCAGAGGGAAGGAAGCCCUUAACCCUGGGCAGAAUCUUCCUCCUCGGGAAAUGGAAGCGGAGCCGUGAGGCGGCCGUGUGGGAAGGAAUGUGCGCUCCUUUGCCUGUCCCCGAAGGGCACCCCGACCUUGAGUUUAAGAAACAUCCCAGCCCGCUGUCAGCAGCAGCCCGGCUCUGGGAGCGGCUGCGCCCUGCCGUUUUGGCCGUGCUCACAUACGAUGGCCUUUACUUCAAGGACUUCUUCCCUUAGCCCAAACAAGCCGACCUCAGAGGUCUGAGACAGCAGGCAGCAGACACAAGACUGCCACGUGCGGGUGGUCAUGGAGUUCUGACCGUGGCCUGUGAGCUAAAGCCCAUGGCAGUUUUUGUACACUCUGCUCGGGUGGGUAGGAGGUGGCAGAAUGCGGGAGGCGCAUCCCGUCCUUGAACCGUAGUGCGGCUACGUGCGCGUGCGUGCCUUGGUCGUGAGGUGCCUGGCUGUCCCUGACAGUGGUGGCUGGGCAGUGGGUCUACCACCCUCCAGGCCCCGCCACGCAGCCUUGCCUUGGGUGGUUCAGGAGUCAGCAGGCAGAGGAAACCCGCUUGCACGCAACGAUGCCGUGACCAUAUGCAGCUUGAAAUUUCAGAGCAGACUUUUCAGAGCAGUCUCUCGUUACCUAGCUAAAAGUAGCUGUGUGCUUCUUGCCGUAUACUUUCACACCUCUUCUCCCUUGCUCCCGGACCGCUCCUUCUGCACGCCCUAAAUUACAGAUCCUCGCUGGGGCUGAGCAUUGAAAGACAUCCGUUGGCUUCUCCCGUUCGUUAAUAGAGGUGCUUAAGUCAGCCGGAUGGCCUGCCCCGGCGCUCGGGCCCCCCUCCGCCCUCCUCCCCUCAAUCAUCCCCAGCCCUCCUCUAUCCCCACCUGUAUGCAGUGGUUCCCUGGACCAGCUCCAGAGCACUUUCUUUCAUCCCUUGAUUGGGCUUUUAUUUUUAAGAAGAAAGCCAAGCACAUUUUUAACAGCCGCGACCAGAUGGAGCGAGCUCUUCUGAGGCAACGUAAAGGUAAUAAAACAGAGCAAGCUGGUGUGGCUAACCUAAUGAAAGAUCCUGGGGCUUUGUGCCAGCUCUCACUAACCUUGGAGAAUACUUGGGUUGUGUGGGAGGCAAAUAACCCAGGGCAGUGUUUUCCUGACUUUUUCUGUCCUUAAACAACUGACCGAAGUCUGCGCCUUUCCUUAUCCUCAAGCCUUUUCCACCUUGGUCUUGAACAUUCUUCACUCCUCGUGCUUCACGGUGAUUCGUACUUCUUGGUGUCCCUCGUCCUUGGUACCGGCCACCUGCCCCUGUACCCCCCGCAGACACACGCAUCAUCACAAAGCUUGUUUCUCCAUCAUUGAGUCAUUUCCUUUGAACCAUAAUCCUUUCCUUCUGGUCCUUUAGCCCAGCUUCUGGAAUGGGCCCUCUCCCUCUCUCUGUCUCUGUGUCUGCGUGUGUGUGUGUGUGUGUGUGUGUGUCUUGUCUGUCUGUCCCUGACUCAGUCUGUCUCUCCAUGUGACCCUCUCUCUGUCUGUCGGUCUGUCUGUCUUGUCUUGGUGUCUUCCCCCCCCCCCCCCCCCCCCACUCUCCUGCUAGCUUAGAGCAGACUGUGGCCCUGACAUCCGCGCGAUGAGGACUGGCCCUGCAGGGUGGACAGCACGGGCAUCCUCACCCCUCCCCUGGCCUGGACCUGCUGACUGGUCCUGACUUGCUGGGUCCUUCCUUGUCAUCUCUCACGUGUGCCACUGUUGGACGGCCUCCACUGCCCCUGGCUCCCAGCUUACACGGCUUCAACCCUAGUCACUGCCUCAGCCUUUUACACGGAUGCCACGCCAUGCUCCCGCGUGCACGGGACUGGUUGUUCCACUCCUGGGGCUGGCGGUCUUCAGAGGUAGAAAAGCACCGGUGACAGCACAGCCUCCAGCCCCCAGUCCCCAGCCCCCAGCCCAGGGCCGGGUGGAGCCCGUGGCACCUUCUCCAGCAGCAGGAGGUGCAUCCUUUGUGUCCCCAAGAGCCAUGCACACGGCAUCAUUCUCGGAGUCCGUAGCAGGGAAGGUGGGCUAGCCCUCCACCCGGCUCGAGACCCUUUUGGCGCCCCUGUCUUGCAGCCACAUGCCCGGGAGCCGUUACAUGAGCAGGGGCCCUUCUGCAGGUGUGGGGCUACUGGGCUCGGCUGAGCCAGCCUUCAGCCUGAACCACGCUCCUUUCCACCCGCCCCACACAUCAUCCCAAUGCCCCUUCUCUUUUCCCCGGGUGGAACCAGACCCCAAGUGCCACUGGGGCCUUAUCACCAUGUAAGGUGACUGUUAGCUUAAGUUGUUUCUCCACCUGAGUCCCUGCAGGGCUUGUCUUGGUUGCUCAGUGCACGUUAAUGCAACGGAAUCUGAGUGAGCACAGGGACGUGAGUGGGGAGUGAUCAAACAUUUACAGCACUGUGGGCCCCUCACUCCCAUCAAUCCUCAUGGCAGCCUUGGGUAUGGGCUGUACUGUUACAUUUCAGGGAUGAGUCGCUGAGGCCCUGAGAGGCUGGACAAUUUGCCUGAGUUCACACAGCUGCCACAUGGUGGAGUCUCGCCCCCCCCGCCCCCAGCCUCUUCUGGAACAUUCUGCAGAAUGUGGGCAAGAUGGGGGAGUGGGGGAACCUAACUGCCGAGGUUGGGGAGCUGGGCCUGGUGGGAGGGGCGAGGGACCAGCUGCUGGUUUAGUGGAUUGUGGUCGGCAGGAGGGAGGAGGGUCUCAUGGGGGCCUGGAGGGGCGUGGAGGGUGACUGACGUGAGGUGGAGGAGGAGAAGGAAGUUUCAGGAGGCUAGUGCUUCUGACCGGGGGAGACUAGGUGGAUGGGUCCCCUUACCGGGGAGGGGGAACAGGAGACUGGUCCUGCCUGGCAGGUGGGGGACCUGGCGUGGGGAGGCUGCGGGCCCAACAGGUUUGCUGGCACCACGGGGUCCUGAUGGCAGAGGCUGGAACAGCAAUGGCAUCUGGGUCCUGGGUCUGUUGUCCCUCCUCCGCCAUCACUCUGCCUUUCAGCCUGUCUCCUGGGCCUGAGAAGGACGGGCUCAGAGCCACGCCCCAAUCUUGGCACUUCCCCUCCACUCCGCCCUGGGGGAACUUGUUCUUACUGUGCUUAAAAGUAGGCUGAGAAAUCAGUGCAAAGAUGGGAAACUUAGUUUUCACAUAUAAUGGGAGGGGUGUGUGGACUGGGAAAACAAGGGCCGAUUGGAUUUUAUUUUUCGGGGAAUCCGCUGCCGAGAUGGGAUGUCAGCAGGUGCACGGGGCGCUGGUUUCCCCAAAUGGCAGGGCGACUCUCUCAGGAGCCAGUUCAAGUGUGACCCCGGGCUGCGCGGCACCUCUGGGCCCCGGCCCUGCCCUCUGGGGAGCGCCCCCGCCCUCUCAUGGCUGGAGACAUGCUCUUCCCACUCCCUCUGUGCCCCCUGAGGCCAGGGAACUGUCCCCUCACGUCUGUGCUCUGGCGACAGGGCAUGGUGGAGCGUGGGUUGGACUUGAUAGGAGGGGUGCGGUGGGGGUUCAGACAGGUAAGAGCAAUGGCUGGGAACGUGGCCUGGGUCUCUGAGGUCACUGUGCUGUCUGGGUUCACCAUGGUGACACCCAGUGGCCCUAGCACUUGAAGUACCUCACAUACAUUGUUACCUUGCUGGGUCCUAGCUCUUGUUUCCAAUUUGUCGAUAAGGAAGCAGAACCAUGGAAAAGUUACCUAGGUCUUCUAGAGUCACAGAGACAGGGAGUGGCAAAGUCAGGCGGGAUCGGGAUGGGGAGGAUGCUGGUGACCACACAGCCAGCUGGCCUGGCCUCCUCCAGGAUGUGACCCCCCCCCCCCCGGGGGACAGGAGCUCGGCCUGGUGUGGUGUCCAGCCGGGUGCUGUGUGGAUGCCCACCAACUCUGGCGAGGCCAGAAGUAUCUCCCGAAGUCUUUACAGAUCACACUGAAGAAGAGGCACUUGUGUUCCAGAUCCUCUGGCCGCUCCUGACUAACCGACGGAGGUCGAAGCCAUCGGGUGGUAACGGCUUCCUGCACAUCUCUGACCUGCCGUUUACGGCCUCCUCAGAUUCCCCGGGACCGCCAGGACUCAGCCGCCUGACUCUGCAGCUCCGAACCAACCUUGUCGAUAUCCCCGUUGGGGGCCUUUGCUUGGGCUUUAGGAAGGGUCGGUGGUGGAUGUUUUUGGUGGAAUUUUGCGGUCCGAUGUCAGAGAUGGCUGAAACGUGGCGGCGAGAGCGGGCCCUGGGCGUGUCUCCAGGAUUGUAUUUUUCUCUGCUCCAGGGCCUAUCCCCUGGAUGGUACCUAUCCCCGAAAGGGGUCUGUGUUGGAGCCCAGCGCCCCUCGACCCUUGCUGAGUAGGAGUCAUUAACUCCAGGGAACUAAAGGCAGAAGGAAGGGUUAGGCUUUGGGGCAAAUCGGCAAUGAAUGAGCUUCUGUUCUCUAACCUGACCACAUGUGUUGGAGGCAAAUAGACACCUUGCUCUGCUCCUGUAAACACACCUUGUGCAGGUAGAUGCUUGUCGGCUCACCCCUCGCAUGGGAGAGAUGCCCUUCUCAUGCCCUGGCAUUGUUGGCUCUUUGCUGCUCAAAGGACACUGCAACCUUGAACCAGCUCCCUGUGUUCCUUCCAGCGGGGAUGAAACGAGCCUUCAGCAGGGCCUCAUCCUUUACCAGGGCCUGGCAAGGGCCCUGGGAAGGGAGGUCACCGUUGAGCAACGCCCAGACAUAGUCUACCAUUCAUUUCCAGAUGCCUCUGGGCCUCAAUUGUUUUCUUCCUCUCUUCCCAUAGUUACAGAUUUUGCAAGAUCCGUUCAACACGUGUUCAUGGGUCCAUCCCCCCCUAAGCCGUUCAGAUCCAUCAGUCCAGUGUUCCCUUUGCUCUUUUCAUGCUGACGGUUUUCAACGGCUGUUGACAAAGCUGCUAAAGGAACAGGUUAUUAAGAGCGCUCACGCGGUGGCCCCUGUGGGCAAAUAAGCCCCUAAGGUUUCCCAGAAUGGGUAGGACGGAGCCUCCCAAGCUUCCCAGAACAGGCCCAGGGAUGCGCUUUGCUUUUUGCUUUUUUUUUUUUUUUUCCCUAAGUGGAGGGCACCAUCUUUGCGUUGAAGGGAAGGUGCGCGGGAGCCGGGGGUUCCUAUGGAAAAAGCCAAUUCCUGGCGUAAGACUCAAAGGGAAAGUCCUCAGCUUUCCCUGAGCUGUACUGAUCUGCACAAGGCCUUCUUUACAUCUGUAUCUUUCUUAGCCGUGUUGGCCGUGAAGGGCCAUCGGGGCCGCCUCCAUCUGUCUGGCGGGGUGAGUGAGGGCAGGGGUGAUGCCCGGCUGUGGAACUCUGGGCCCAGGGGGACUAUCUGAGCUGCGAUUAUGAGGGCUUCGUUCCUCGGAUGCGUGGAAGACAGCUUGCUGCAGAUGCCACACGUUGGCGGUGCUGGUUGUCAACAACCAGCUAGAGCCCGGAGGCCGUCUUACGGCAGAGACGAGAGGCAGAGUCCCGGUGGCCACGUGUUACAAGCGUGGGGACGAUACACCCGGUGUCUUCGGAGUUUUGCCCAAGCGUGAGGGGCCCUUCGUGUUCCAUCGCCCCCGGUUCCCACCCGAGCACCCAGACCUUUGGAAUGUUCUCUUCUUUCCUGGAGCCCUCACCCAGUGGCAGACGUGGCGGGGGUUUCCAUCCACACCUGUUUCCUUCUCGUCCUGGGCACCCAGCUAGACGACUUCUUCCAGCCUCCCGUUGGGCGUGGCUGUGCGAUUGGGUCUGGCCAGCGCAGCGUGGCUGGAAGUGGGGUGGGCCUCUUCCAGGCCCGUCGAGGAAGCUUCCCACGUGGCUCCCCGUGUGCUGGCUUCCGCUGCGGAAGCUGGAGCACACGCCAGAGGGACCGGCCCGGGCUCCUGAAUGACCUCGUGGAGGACUGCCACCACCCAGCCCUGGCAUUGGGCUUGGCGUGAGUGAGAAAUCAGCCCUCACUGGCUCUCGGCCGGUGCCCCAUCGCUUGCUUUCUGGAUUGUUCCGUGUCCUCUGGGUGAGUGUCAGCCCCUUCCCCUUGGCAUUUCUGCAUUUCCAGCUCCCUUCUCUCCCAUCCUAGAGGAGACAGCAUCUUUUCCUUUCGCAAAUACACUCAUCCGAGUGCCCUCCAUUGUGACUCCCCCCGCUCGAGUCCCCCUUCAGCUUUGCCCCGCGAAUCCUUUCUCUUCCUUGAGCUCCAAUCUUAUCUUUCACGGGCCCCAUUCCUUCUUGGUCGCGACUAUGUUUAGCCCCCGCCCCCACCUUGUUACGCAUGUCUCUAUUUCUCGUCACCGUCGGGAUCUGUGAACGGUCCCCUCCGCUGGGGCUUUCAGUCCCCCUCCUCCUCACUCAGCUGCAGAAUCUGCCUUCUGCUCCCACCGCCUUUGGGCGGUGACCGACCCCAAGGCCCUGUUGGCUGCUACAUUUGCAGUGUCUCCACAGUUCCCACGCUUUAUCAUUUCUGUGGCACCCUUGCCAGGCUCUCCCUCUUGAGCCGACUGGCCUUUGUCGCUGGGCUUUGCCAGUUCCCCCACAGCUCGCCUCUCUCCACCACAGGCUGGUUGGUGUCCACGCAGGGACGGAAGGAAGGGGAGGGUAUUCCUGGGGUUCCGGCCUGCACCUCUCCUCUUUCCCCAUGGUGCCACCGUUUGUAAUCUGCAUCAUUGACUCCCUUAGCAUCGGCCGCCAGCUUCAUGCAUGAUGACAUCCCGGUCCCCAUCCUCCUUCAGGAUGCCACGACCCUCCAUCCCAGGGGUGGGACUCCCCCAGGACCUUCCACCGAACACGCAUCCGGCAGACCCAUCUGCUGCCCCACACCCCCAACUAUUCCCGCCUCCCCCUCAUGCUCCCCCUCAGGCUCCCCAGCCUGCCAUUUUUGGGGGUUACAGGGAUGACAGUUCUACGUCAGCCAGCUGCCCAGCCCCAGUAGUUCUGAGCGCACCCUCUUAUGUAUAUGGUUCCAGCCCUUGUCGUCUUUGCUUAAUUAGACUUCCCCAGGGGCCGGUGCGCCGCCCCCCUGCCCCCCGCCUCCCAUCCAGCCCAUCUCUCACUCCUGCCAUCCCAGCAGUCAGAGCCAGCUGGCUGGGGUGGUGGUGAGCUGUGCGUGCGUGUGGCAUUCCUGGACGCGGCGUCCAGAGUGGGUAGAGCGUGGGCUGUGGGCUUGGGCAGACCUGGAUUCCUGUCCUGGCCCUGUCACCUAGGAGCUGUUGACUUUGGCAAUCACUUAAUCUUUGUGAGGCUGAGUUUUUGCGUGUAAAAUUGUGAUAACACCUACUUCAACAGGGGUGCUGUGAGGCGCGUGAAGGCCCCAGGGCACACGGCAGGUGUCCAGUGACUCCCCCCACCCCAGGAGUGCUCCUGGGGACUGCUGGGGGGAAGCCGGCCCGGGCGUGCGUCUGUGCUGGGUCCAGGGCUUGUGGACACCCGGAGUGCGGAAAGCCAUCGUGGACCUGAAGGACCCUUCAGGUCAGCUGCAGUUUCUACCCCCGGGCCGUGCGGGUCUGAUGAAGAAUCUCAAGGCAUUGAAUCAUUUUUUAAUGCCUCAUAUUUAAGCUUUUUUUAUUUCUAGAACAUACACAAACGGCAAACUCUUCCUCCGACACUUGUCUUACUCCCCGGGAGAAAAUUAGGCCACUGGAAACUCGUUUCAUCUGCUGCAGAGGUGGAGGCCGGCGGGAGCCUCGAGAGCGGGAUGUGCCUCGCCAAGAAGGCUGUCAGUGCUGGGGACACCGCCGGGGGGCCACAGCGGGGUGCUGGUGCCCGAGGAAGCCACCCAGAGCCGUGUCCAGACCCAGGAUAUGAGAGGGGGAAGCCCCACACAGCUCGUAGGGCUUCUGCAGGUAAACCGAAUUGCCCCAGGUAGCCUGAGGUCUGAAGGAUGAGCCCUCAGAGUGACGCUAGCAGGCCAGUGCUGGCCCCGUUGUCACCCUGUCACCAGUGUGGGGUUGGGGCAGCGGAGCAUACGUUUCCAACGUGUUGCCAGUGCUCGGUGAAAGCCUGGAGCCAAGUCUGUGGAAAAGAUAAAGUAACAAAUAUAAGAAGUCAUUGAGAUGCGUCCUAGGGAAGAGAGCCAGCUUGUGCUGAAAGUCCUGUCUCUGUCUGAGAGCUGUCACCUGCAGUGACUCACCUCCCACUGACCAGAAGUCAAGGUCGGUCUGGCCUGUGGAGUGAUACACCCUGGAGGGGGACUGUGGGUACUCCCCUCUGCUGCCGGGGCGACCAGACUCCCGAACCCCGGACCCCGCAGUGUCCGCGCAGGUCACGGCCGCUCGGCCCUGUGGGGCGCAUGGCAUGCUUCGCCAGCUGGGCCCCACAACAGCCUUGUGCAGGCGGAAGGACUAGCUCGAACCUUGACGCGCAGAUGCGCAAACUGAGGCCCGGGAGGAGCCCACAGGCGGGCCGUGCCAAGUAGGGCAGCCCCUUGUGCCGAGUGCCUGGGCUGCCCUACUCCUCCCCAUCUUUCCGAGGGUGGGUGAGGCCUGAUGAUAUAAUUGAUAUUAAUCCCCGUGUUACCGGGUGGACAGGACACAGCCCCGUCUGCCAGAAACACCCCGGAAACACUCCCAGCUUUGGAUUUCUAUGAAAAACUCUUUAAAAAUAAAAAAAAACCCAAACCCACGGAGGACGGAGAGUUGAGGGGCCGUUGCUCCGGCGGAAUGUUUGGUCUUCACGGGGCUUUUGUCCUUCCUUCACACAGAGCACAGGUCAUGCCCACCUAGACUCAACUUCUUACAGACUCGUUCCGCUCAGACCCGACCCAAACUCAGGAACCGUCGCAAGUGACAGACGCCCGAGGGUCCCGAUGGCCGGGGACAAGGGCAAGGAGAGGAAGCCUUGCCAAAAUGAAAGCAAAGAGGCUUUAGAAGCCAUGGGAAAAGGCUCCCUACAGGCAGCAGUCAAGAGAAAUUCGCCUGGAACAGCCAGGUACCCAAGGUUUUCUACACCUUGUUAAUUACUGACUUAAAACAAAACCUUUAGGUUUGGUGUCCCCUGGAGCUAAGUUCCUGCCACCCCGUUGCCAGCCACCAUUUCUGUCAACGCAAAGAGCCACAGCUGUGGGGACAGGCUGGCGCUUGUGGGGGAGAAGCCUUUUCCCUUGUCGUUGCCCUCAGCUGUGGCCUCUGGAACGUUCCGUGGCAGCACGGAGGAGAAAUGAUACCUUAAUACUUUUUGUUACAAGAGCUCUUCUGAAAAACAUUCUACAAACAGGUAUAUUAGAGUAGUGGGUGUGGUUAAUGUAACAUCAGGGACAAGUCUGAACACAGACCUCGGUCAUGGUUUUGGGUCUCGCGUUUCAUUUUUAUGUGAGGACGAAGUGAAGUAAGGGACUCAUGUUAAAUUACCUGGAAAUGAGUUUGGUCAGGUUGGUGUCGUCAUGGGAACUCCUGACAGCUCUUUCCUUCUUCGUUCUUUUUUUUUUUUUUUUAAGUUUAUUUAUGUAUUAUGAGAGAGACAGAGACAGCACAAGUAGGGGAGGGGCAGAGAGAGGCAGAGAGAGGAUCCCAAGCAGGCUCUGCGCUGUCAGUGUGGAGCCCGAUGUGGGGCUCCAACUCAGGGAACCGUGAGAUCAUGACCUGAGCCGCAACCAAGAGUAGGAUGCUUAAGUGCCUGAGCCACCCGGGCACCCCAGCUCUAUCUGUCUCUGGAUUCCUCAGGAUGCAGCCACAGGGCCUUGCGAGGGAGGUGAGGGGGGCUGGGGGACCUGUGUGUAACGAGUUCCCCACACGAGGGUCUCCUGAAGCCCAGGUGUGCCCUGACACCCGGUCAUGGGAGCUUCAGGCAGGUAGCCGGCUCCCCAGCUGCCCCUGCAGAGCUGGGUUUGCCCGGGGAAAGGGCCAGAGGCGAGGGGCAGCGAGUGGGAGUGGAGGCUAGCUGAUGCAAGCCAUGCGUUUGUUCAGCAAGGAGGAUCCGUGGGAGGCCUGUGCACCAGGUCGGGGCAGGGCACUGGCUGAGGGGCUGCAUGCGGCUCUCUGGGAGGUGGUGACCUCGGGCAGGGUGCUGGCCUGCUCUGGGCCUGUUUCUCCUGCUCAAAAAUGAGGACUCCAGUGCCCUCCUCCUAGGGCAGGUAUGAGGACUCACGGUGUCACCAUGGGGAAACACUCAGUGGGGUCCCUGGCACGGAGCAGUGAACUGUGUUUGCUCUCUGGUUAUGACAGCAGCCAGCCCUUGCCCAGGGGGGCCCCAAGACAGGGGGAAGGCCAUGAUGCAGACAAGGGCAGAAGAGGAGGUUGAAGGAGAGCCUUUGCUGAGCACUUGACAUUGAGUCUGGGCUAGACAAAUGAGUAGAAAUGUACCAAGAGCAAAGGACGUGCCAGGUAGAGGGACCAACAAAAGCACAGGGUCGGAAGGGACGUGUGUGUUUGGGGAACAGCAGGACUUGGUGUGGCUGGGUGCCAGAUGGUGUUGGUGAGUCUCCAAGGGGGCAAGGCUGGCCCGGCAGUUUGGUUGCACAAGCCUUAGAUUGUGUCUUCAAAGCAGUGGGGUCUGGGGUGGGGGACUUUAAAACAUAUACAGACUAGAUGGAUUGUAGAAUCUGUUAACAGGGAUGGAUCUUCCUGUUGAGUGUUUAAUACUUAGCCAAAUGUGCGAAACCCAGAAAGCAGGGGCACCUGAGUGGCUCAGUGGGUUAAGCAUCUGACUUCGGCUCAGGUCAUGAUCUCACGGUCUGUGAGUUCAAGCCCCGCGUUGGGCUUUGUGCUGACAGCUCAGAGCCUGGAGUCUGCUUUGGAUUCUGUGUCUCCCUCUCUCCCUGCCCCUCCCCCACUUGCUCUCUGUCUCUCUCUCUCUCUCUCUCAAAAAUAAAAAAGUAAACAUUAAAAAAAAAACAAAAAAAACAAAGCACCUUUCUUUGAGGCCAAGACUGCCUGGGUAUGAGGAGGGUGUUUGUUGUUUCGUUUUGUAAUUUUAAACAUGUAGAAGAGUGUAUUUGUGUCCAUCAGCCGGCUUCAACAGUGGCCAACUAGGACGUGGAUUUUCGGUGGGAGCAGUGCCAUAGGAUGUGGUUUAGGAAGCUGACUGGUGGCACCUAGGAGCCCCCGUGCAAGGGUCUGGGCUGGUGGCCAAGAGAGAUGGCUGGGCUUGUAGCCUUGUUUAGCCGAGUGUUGGUGAGGACCCAGACUAAGGCAGGGGGGUGAGAAGAGAGCAGAUAGUUGGAAGAGAUUUUGAAGUAGAACCAGUAGGAUUUGGCAACCAACUGGAUGUGAGAGGGGAGGGCAUUGGAGGGGCUUUGUGGGAUUCUACUGCCCGUGAACGAUCCUAGAGGAAGGAAAGGGUUUGAGGCAGGACAGAGGUCCAACCACAGUCCUUGAAGCCGUGUGGCCUCGAUCACCAUGCUGCAGCCCCCUUAGUUGUCUCCCAGUUCCUUGACUGCACCAAACUCUUUUCACCCCAGGACCUUUGUACAUGCUGCUCCCUCUCUCUAGGUUGCUUCCGUCCUCACAUGUCACCUCCACAACUCCCUCUCGUCCUUUCAGUCUCAGCUCACAUGGCACCUCCAUCGGGAGACUCAUUUAUUCCUGCUCUGUCUCUCGUUUGUGUCCUUACUGAUCCUUAUUGAUCACAUGUAAAUCUGUUGCUUGAUGACAGGCAUUCCUCGGAUAUAGUCUGAGUUCGGUUCCAGGCCACCGCAAUAAACCAAGUAUCACAA